UUCACAAGAUAUACCUCAAAUUCACCUGGUGGUCAUAACCAAGAAUGUCAAUUGUAGUGAAAUCUUAGGGAUUGUAUCACCCAGUCUUACUAAUCAAUCAAUAUGU